rnacentral:rRNA from 1 species
GCGGAAAAGAUAAGUGCUGAAAGCAUCUAAGCACGAAACUUGCCCCGAGAUGAGUUCUCCCUGAGACUUUAAGUCUCCUGAAGGAACGUUGAAGACGACGACGUUGAUAGGUCGGGUGUGUAAGCGCAGCGAUGCGUUGAGCUAACCGAUACUAAUGAACCGUGAGGCUUAACCUUACAACGCCGAAG